rnacentral:rRNA from 1 species
UGGCAUUGUUGGUUUCUCCCUUCUGACGAACCAUGAUGUCAUUUAUUUGGUGUUGUGGGGAAUCAGGACUGUUACUUUGAAAAAAUUAGAGUGUUUAAAGCAGGCUCACGCUUGAAUACAUUAGCAUGGAAUAACGAAAUAGGACGUUUGAUUCUAUUUUGUUGGUUUCUAGGAUCGACGUAAUGAUUAAUAGGGAUAGUUGGGGGCAUUAGUAUUCAAUUGUCAGAGGUGAAAUUCUUGGAUUUAUUGAAGACUAACUACUGCGAAAGCAUUUGCCAAGGAUGUUUUCAUUAAUCAAGAACGAAAGUUAGGGGAUCGAAGACGAUCAGAUACCGUCGUAGUCUUAACCAUAAACUAUGCCGACUAGGGAUCGGAUGAUGUUAAUUUUUUAAUGACUCAUUCGGCGCCUUACG